rnacentral:tRNA from 1 species
GCGUUGGUGAUUCAGUGGUAGAAUUCUAGCUUGCCAUGUUGGAGGCCUGGGUUCGAUUUCCAGCCAAUGCA